rnacentral:rRNA from 1 species
GACGAACGCUGGCGGCGUGCCUAACACAUGCAAGUCGAACGGAGUCGGCCCCGCAAGGGACUGACUUAGUGGCGAACGGGUGAGUAACGCGUGAGCAACCUGCCUUUCAGUGGGGGACAACAGUUGGAAACGACUGCUAAUACCGCAUGAAGCAUAAUGAUCGCGUGGUCGAUAUGCCAAAGAUUUAUUGCUGAAAGAUGGGCUCGCGUCUGAUUAGAUAGUUGGUGAGGUAACGGCCCACCAAGUCGACGAUCAGUAGCCGGACUGAGAGGGUGAACGGCCACAUUGGGACUGAGACACGGCCCAAACUCCUACGGGAGGCAGCAGUGGGGAAUAUUGCACAAUGGGGGAACCCUGAUGCAGCGACGCCGCGUGAGUGAUGAAGUAUUUCGGUAUGUAAAACUCUAUCAGCAGGGAAGUAUAAUGACGGGUAACCUGACUAAGAAGCACCGGCUAAAUACGU